rnacentral:rRNA from 1 species
AAGGGUGACGAAGCGACGCCGCGUGUGGGAAGAAGGCCUUCGGGUUGUAAACCACUGUCGGGAGUUAGGAAAUGCAGGUGCGUUAAUAGCGCACUUGCUUGACUAAGGCUCCAGAGGAAGCCACGGCUAACUCUGUGCCAGCAGCCGCGGUAAUACAGAGGCGGCAAGCGUUGUUCGGAACUAUUGGGCGUAAAGAGCACGUAGGCGGCCUUGCAAGUCAGUUGUGAAAGCCUUCCGCUUAACGGAAGAACGGCAUCUGAUACUACAGGGCUUGAGUACGGGAGGGGAGAGUGGAACUUCUGGUGGAGCGGUGAAAUGCGUAGAUAUCAGAAGGAACGCCGGCGGCGAAAGCGACUCUCUGGUCCGAAACUGACGCUGAGUGUGCGAAAGCUAGGGGAGCAAACGGGAUUAGAUACCCCGGUAGUCCUAGCCGUAAACGAUGGGCACUAAGUAGAGGGAAUC